rnacentral:rRNA from 1 species
UACGUAGGGUGCAAGCGUUGUCCGGAUUUAUUGGGCGUAAAGAGCUCGUAGGCGGUCUGUCGCGUCGGAUGUGAAAACCCAGGGCUCAACCCUGGGCCUGCAUUCGAUACGGGCAGACUAGAGUACGGCAGGGGAGACUGGAAUUCCUGGUGUAGCGGUGAAAUGCGCAGAUAUCAGGAGGAACACCGAUGGCGAAGGCAGGUCUCUGGGCUGUAACUGACGCUGAGGAGCGAAAGCGUGGGGAGCGAACAGG